GGGGCCUUCAGCCCGGGUCCCAGAGUGUUCACAGUGUCCUUGGCCACUGGGCGGAGCUACCAGGUGGGUGAGGUGUCCCGGUGGAGAGAAGUGCAGGGCUGGCAUGUGGAAGGAGCUGCCGCGCUCCGCACACGUCGUAGCAGAUGAAGAGCCUCAUCCUCCUGAUGCUGGUGGACGCCGCUCCAGAAGUCCGCUAGAUCUUAGGGAUACUGCAAAGCCGCGGCUUCCAGGGCAGACCCUUGCGGGUCAGCCUGUAAACGGGGCGCUUUCCCCCAGCAGGUCUGUGCUAAAUUUGCUGACGCCUUGCAGGUGUUGGCUGUUGCUGUAGGACUUUUCUAUAGCGCGGGUCUCAGAGCAAUGGAGGAUUUUAUUUAAAGUUCCGCCCCAAGCUUACCGUAGGUCAGUUACCAGUUAGUUCUUCCGGUUCACGACUCAGGGGCAUCAGAGCGCGGUUCUUUUCCAGGGAGGCGUCUGCCUGGUACUGGGAGUAGCUUAUGCGGGAGAUAUGCCAGGUUAGCCACUGGUGCUCCCUGGUCUCAGGUGGGGUCCUAGAUGCCAGGCCUGGGAGUGGCUUCUUCCCCUGCCCCAGCCCCGCCCUGCCCUGGCCAGGCAGUGGCUGGACCACCGGCCAUGACCCCAGCGGGAAAGAGAAGAUCCCAGACCCGGUCAGCUAAGGAGGCAUUGCCUGAACAAAACUCUGGGUGAAGACUGCAUUUCAGAUAUCAUCAGAAAUAUAUUAAGAACUCAAAGUACUGCGCUUGGUGAUGAAAUAUGGAGAAAUGAUGUUCAUCAUAUCUGAUUUUACAAUAGAAAAUAGCUAUAGUGUCAGGAAAUAAAGAAAAAAUAUAUAGGUGAUUAAAAUGCAUUAGUUGGAAAUUGAUUUGUUUUGAUCUUUUUUUUGAAACAAAAGGGAAAAAGUAGAUGACUAUUCUACAUUCGAAAGGAUAAUGGUCUACUAUAGUAUUGCUGUUUGUAACUUCCUAUAUGCACAUCCCACCUGUGUCUGAUGAAGGCUCUAUUUUCCUUGCAAACAUGGUCUGUAUUAGAAUUUUUGUUCCAUAUUCCAGUAAAGCUUUAUUUACACCAACAGGGAGCAUGCCAGAUUUGCUGACCACUGUAGAGCACAGGUAUGAUCAAAACUCUCUGCUUCAUUGAGAUUAAUCAGUAAGAAUAUUAAGUAUGAGAAUCAUCAAUAGUAGUGGCUUGCUGUUGGAUCAACAUGUUGUAUAAAGAGAGUUCUAGACUUUUAUUUCAGAGAACCUGAAUAGAACGCAACUACAUAUAUAGGCUGGCAAAUGUUCAUUUCAUUUUGCUUUCGUUUCAACAAACUGUACCUUUCUGCUCUUAAAACUCCUGUAAAAUGAUUCUGCAUAAUAAAAUAUUAGGAAAAAAGUA